GAGAAGGCCCAAGAAGGACUUGUAAGGAGAGAGGCAGAAGGGUUCUCGAGACAGAGAGGAGGAAAUGUUAACGAAAGAGGAGACUCCAAGAUGCCACACUAUCACAUGAUUAAUUCCUGGGAAAGGAGAGUGUCAAGAAGAAUGGAGUCUAUAGACCCAGGAAUGAGAAAAGGCCGUGGUGGGAUGGCUACUGUAAAGUCAUUGGCGACCUUUAAGAAAAUCAUUCCAGCCAAGAAUAUUAAGUAUCAGAAUGGAUUGCAGCGGGCAUGUCAGGGUGAUGAAGUCACGGAGAGUUUGCACAGCCUGUGUCCUAAGAGAAGAUCUCAAACUGAUGAGAUAACAUCGAGAAAGUAGAUUGAAGGGUGACUUUGGUGAAGUCAAGUUUUCUCUCCCCACCCCGCCCAAUAUCACAAUUUUACAAGGACGUAAUGGAGACACAAUGUCUACCAGAAGAAUUUCAGACAUCGGAGCAGGCUGGUGAGCGAGGUUCUUUUUGACAGUGUGGUUUUUCAGCAUUCUUUGUGUUCCCUGACACAGAGGGCCUCUCAGGGCUGGGCCAUCUGUGUUUAUACUGCGAUCCUUUUGAUUGCUUGUUUACUUAUGCAUCAGAUCCACCUGAUGAGCUUGUUAAAAUGAAGAUUCCAGGGCCCUCCUUUAGAAACUCUGUCUCAAUAGGUCUAGGGUGGGGUCCUGGAAUAGGCACAUAAAAAUGUUUAGUUGGUUUUUGAACAGACAAUCCAUUCACAUGGUUCAAUCGGUUCGAAAGGGUAGAGGACAAAAAGCUGCUUUCCCACACGUGUUCCUCUGCCCCUCAGUUCCUCUGUUCCAAAGCACCCGAUUUUAUCAGAUCCCCUGUCCCCUUCCAGGAAUAUCAAAACCACAUUUGCCUUUAAAGGGGGGAGACUCGAACUUAAACAUAACCGUAGGGUAGGAGCUGUGAGCUGGAGGACAGAAUAACAGGUGUAGGAGGGAAGGAAAUCGGGGGAGGCUUGGACUUGGAGACGCGAUUGCUGGUUGGUGUGAGCAGUAAGUCACCUCCCGUCUUUAGACUUCUCGUUUUCAAAACGCACAUUGCCAGGGGGUAGACCUUGAAGUGACUGUUCUUCAUGUACUGGUUCUGUCUACAUCAGCAUCAAUGAUCCAGACCUUGAGUGUGCGUGUGGGACCGAGGGCCAGUGCGUGUGUUUCUUCUUGCUUGUGGGCUUUCUGGUUUUUAUUUAUGUCACUUUCAUUGGACUACAAAGCUGUGUAAAAACUUGCCCCUCUGGUUCUCCGUAAAGAUGGACUCUCUGCAUUUUUUGUGGUUGUCUCUGGAUAUCAGGUCAUAUGCUCUCUGUCCUCACAAGAUAUAAUUCUGGAUUCACAAGUUAUAACUUCACAGCACCAAAAACAUUUCAGUAGAUAAAGACAGCACAUGCUUCGGAAUUCCCCUCAGUUCUGUCGUGUUCUAUUUAUCUGCUCCGCCUUCUGCAUUUUAAACAACCCUCUGUCAGUGUUGUGGGUGUUCAACUUUCAAUAUCAUCUAAGGGUAAAUAAAUGGCCCUCUCGCUAAUAAGAUUCUCCAGUCCUCAGCAUGUUUUUGGUAAAAGAUUUUUAUAAGUAUACAAUGACAAUAAAAAGGGAAGAGUCUGGGCAAUUUAGAGUGGUUCCACUUUGGGCAAUCCAGUUGCAUCUCUUACAGCCAUUUCUUAUUUUUUAACAUUAUUUUAAAAAGAAGAGUAAUUUUGGAAAGUCUAAUUCAAAUAACAAUUUAGAAGGAACAUUUCUCGUGGAUUCUAAUUUAAAGUCUCAUGCAAAAGCCCGGAAUGUAAUUGUCUCAAUUAAAAAAUAUUCCCACUGAGCUGAUACUAUAUCCAUGGUGCCCGGCAAAGCCUAGUGCAGAAUUACAGAAGCACAUUUUGAAAUGAGCUGGGGAUAUGGAUUUAGGCUGAAGAGUGUGCUUUAAGAUCUUAACAGUGACUGGCUAUUUCAGGAGGAAAAAAAAAAAAAGGAAUGAGCUGAGAGAUUAUAAUAACACUAAAUAUGAAGGGAAAAAAAUUUCCCUUCAAAGAUGUCACCCAUAAAAUUAUAUUGACGAUAAUUCAUUUGUGGACACUGUGGUUAUGGAUGUGGGUUUUUCUCCCCACAAUAUUAGGUUAAUUGGUAUUUCAAACUCUGUUAAUGCCCUUGGGGUAGUCAGUUGAAGAAAGUAGAAGGACAUCGUUUCACUUAAUUGGAGGGACUCUUAUUAAAGACGGAGCGAUUCUUCCUAGCAUUAGAAAAUGAACGAAAUUUUUGUGAGUGUGUCUUUGUAUUCAUUUUGCCUUUGCUAUUUCUACUAAAGUAGCUGUAUAAAAUAAUUCAAGGAGCAAUAGGAAAAGUGGAUGUGCCUUGUUCUAUGACUUUUGGGGUGGUAUUUAUUGGCAUUAUUCACAAAUUGAAAAAAUUGAGAUGAUCACUUGAUGGUACUUUUUGAAGCAUGUUCAAAAUUUUCCAGCAUUAGUUAAAGAAGGAAUAUAGCACCAUUAUAUUUUAUUUGCUACAAAUAACAAAUGAAUAAAUAUUGUAGAUUAUUUGAGCUCUAAAAUAAUUUUAGAAAAAUUUGAGAAAAUAACUAGUAGUAACAUUUUUCGAGGAAACAUAAAUGCACAUUUGGGCUGGUAUCUAGCUUACGUUAAAAUAUGGGAGACAAAUCUAUAUCAAAAAUAUCUGUAUCUCCAAAGUUUGAUUGUAUAAUUAUCAUUGAAUCUGGUGGGAAGCUAAAACAUUAGCAAGAGUACAGUUACUGUAUAUAUUUAGGUGGUAAGGAAAACAACAAACUUGAUUGGACCCAGUAGGAUCGAACCCACACUGCAGUUGUGGCCUGAGCUACAGGUGCUGCAAAGCGGAAUUUUUAACCCGGUACCCCAUGGGACUUUUCCUGAUAAUAUGUAAACAUGAAAACAGGAAUCUUGAGGUAACUGACCACAUUUCACUCAGAGCUCAGAAAAAUGAAAUCAAGGUCCACAACACUUAGUUAAUAAGGAAACUAAAAAUACAUUAGAUUUUAAUCCCAUAGUAACCGUUAAAAGAACAAUGUGAGUAAUAUAAUCUUAAAUUUUGAUCAGUGAUGGUUUCCAGUAAAAUGCUCCUCUCUCUUUUGGAAGGUGGCAGUUAUAUCCUCCCAGAAGCCAUUGUGGGGGGACAACGUCAGAAGAAUGUAAACGAGAUUCAUUUGUUAGGCGAAGACAUGCUCCCGCUUAUGCGUUUUAAUAGCCGUCCAUGAAACUUAAGAAAUUAGGAGAAACUUACACAUCAAAGUGCUCAUGUAAAAAAUAAUGUCGACUUUUUUUCUUUUAAAAAUAUUUGUGCUGCAAAUUCUUAGAUCCCAUUGUAUUCAAAAGGCCAAAGUCCUGCUACCUGAAAGAGAUGGCAUUUCAGGUCCCGCCAGGACCUCCCAAAGAGUCAUUUUUCCUGCCUUUGUGGCCCUUUUGAUGGCAAAGAUAGUCCUUUUGUACUGAUGCUAAGUCAUCCAGGAGAUUUAUUUCAUCAGUUAAGAAUCAAAAGGAGAAAGGGGAAGGGGAUGCUGGGUAGAAUUCUGAAGUUUGACACUAAAAAAUUACUGCUUAGGUAACUAGACCUAUUUUAACACCACACAGGAUGGCCUGUCUUCGAACUUAUUUCAAAACACAGGGCUUGGGUACCAACGUGGGAGGUGAGAUGAGGGAUCAGCUGAUUCUAGCCUGGUCCAGCCUGGGAGGCUGGGGGCACGGGUGUGGGCUCCAAGCUUCCCUGUGAGAAGGCAGCGUCUCCGCCGCUCCCAGCCCUCUCAGGGGUCCUGGUCGCUUUGAGCUCCUUGCUUGCCCAUGUGGGCUAGACUUUCCCAAUUGCUCCUUGUUUUUCUAACUACAGGCAUCUGCUCAGAGCUGAGUAAAUGGAGAACAAACUGCUAGAAAAGGAAACGCACCCAGGACCCUAAACACCGCCCUCCUCCAUGACUGUUCUGAAACCAUCAGGCAAAACUUUAUGGUAGGAUCACGUACAGAUUUGGAUACCAGGAUGAUACCUUAAAGAUAAUUUAAUCUCAACGCUUUCCUUGUCAGUGAAACAGAAUUUUAUUGUUAUAAACACUGGUCUAAAGAAUCAGUAUAGUGAGUUCCCGUUGUGGUCAGUGGGUUAAGAACCCCACAUAGUGUCCAUGAGCAUGCACUGGAUCCCUGGCCUCGCUCAGUGGGUUAAGGAUCCUGUGUUGCUGCAAGCUAUGGUGUAAGUCACAGAUGCAGCUCGGAUGUGGCGUUGCUGUGUCUGUGGGAUAGACUGGCAGCUGCAGCUCCAAUUCGACCCCUAGCCCGGGGAACUUCCAUA
rnacentral:lncRNA from 1 species